rnacentral:rRNA from 1 species
GACGAACGCUGGCGGCGUGCUUAACACAUGCAAGUCGAACGGAAAGGCCUCUUUCGGGGGGUACUCGAGUGGCGAACGGGUGAGUAACACGUGAGUAACCUGCCCUUGACUUUGGGAUAACUUCAGGAAACUGGGGCUAAUACCGGAUAGGAGCUCCUGCUGCAUGGUGGGGGUUGGAAAGUUUCGGCGGUUGGGGAUGGACUCGCGGCUUAUCAGCUUGUUGGUGGGGUAGUGGCUUACCAAGGCUUUGACGGGUAGCCGGCCUGAGAGGGUGACCGGCCACAUUGGGACUGAGAUAAGGCACAGACUGCGACGGGAGGCAGAAGUGGGGAAGAUUGCACAAUGGGUGGAAGGCUGAUGCAGCAACGCCGUGUGCGGGAUGACGGCCUUAGGGUUGAAAACCGAUUUCGCUCAUGACGAAGCUUUGUGUGACGGUAGUGGGUAAAGAAGCACCGGCUAACUACGUG